rnacentral:tRNA from 1 species
GCCUGUGUGGUGUAGUGGUUUGAGUGUUGGACUAGGAUUCUGGAGGCCAGGGUUCAAAUCCCUACUCAGCCA